rnacentral:rRNA from 1 species
AUCGAAUGGGACUCGAGGACGAACGCUGGCGGCGUGCUUAACACAUGCAAGUCGAACGGUGAACCAGAGCUUGCUCUGGGGAUCAGUGGCGAACGGGUGAGUAACACGUGGGCAACCUGCCCCAGACUCUGGGAUAACCUCGGGAAACCGAUGCUAAUACCGGAUACGGACCACUUCGGACAUCCGACGGUGGUGGAAAGUUUUUCGGUCUGGGAUGGGCCCGCGGCCUAUCAGCUAGUUGGUGGGGUAAUGGCCUACCAAGGCGACGACGGGUAGUCGGCCUGAGAGGGCGACCGGCCACACUGGAACUGAGACACGGUCCAGACUCCUACGGGAGGCAGCAGUGGGGAAUAUUGCACAAUGGGCGAAAGCCUGAUGCAGCGACGCCGCGUGAGGGACGACGGCCUUCGGGUUGUAAACCUCUUUCAGCAGGGACGAAGCGAAAGUGACUGUACCUGCAGAAGAAGCACCGGCUAACUACGUG